CAUUAUAAGAAAGUUUGGAUAGGCACAGCAUUUCUCUCUAAAAAAGAGGUGGCCCCAGCGUGAACUAUUUAUAUCACUGCCCUUCAGCCGCAGCGCCAGAGUCUGGAUUGUGGUGACACAUGAGCCGGGCGUCGGAGCCUGGGCCAGCAGGCCUCCUUUCCAGGCCGCUCACAGGUGGCCCUGGCUAUAAAUAACUGUGGAGAAGAGCAGUGGGGCUGCUUUUAGACUCAGCUGUGCUGGCGGAAGGAGUGGGCACGGAGCGAGGGAGAGGUGAGAUGAGGAAACGGAGGCACUCUGAGAUCUUGCCUGUCCAGCUCCUAAGAGAUGAAGUUUGAGAUUUAAAUGCAGAUCUGUCCGGGUCUAGAAUCCAGGCUCUAGAGACCUGCCUCUAUUUUCCUUCCUAGCCUGCCAUGUUUUUCUCCAGACUCUUGCCUUCUUUUCCUUCUUUUCCUCCUGUGCUCUCCUCUUCCUCCGAAUACCUUAUUAUUUGUAGGCAGCAGUAUAGCUGUCUCUUUGUUGCAGGUUUAUGUACAAACACAUAAUUCACGUAUGUCUGGUUUAAGAAUUUACACAAGCCCAGCUACCUACUACCUGGCCUGAGGAAUAGAAUGUCGUCAGCUCCUUUGAUGGCCCUCUGAGAAAUCACCAUCCUGAAUUUUACAUUAACCAAUGCUAGUUUUUCCUUGUAGUUUUACCAUAGGUGAAUAAACCAUUAAAAGAUUAUCUUGUUGGG